rnacentral:rRNA from 1 species
GACGAACGCUGGCGGCGUGCUUAACACAUGCAAGUGGAGCGACGAACCGGGGCUUGCCCCGGGGCAGAGCCGCGAACGGGUGAGUAACACGUGGGUAACCCACCCCGAUGACCGGGACAACCCGAGGAAACUCGGGCUAAUACCGGAUGUGCUCCUUGACCUCGAGGUCAAGGCGUAAAGAUAGCUUCGGCCUUCGCAUCGGGACGGGCCCGCGGCCAUUAGCUUGUUGGUGGGGUAAAGCCUACCAAGGCGACGANGGGUAGCUGGUCUGAGAGGACGAUCAGCCACACU